CCUACGGGGGGCAGCAGUGAGGAAUAUUGGUCAAUGGACGAGAGUCUGAACCAGCCAAGUAGCGUGAAGGAUGACUGCCCUAUGGGUUGUAAACUUCUUUUAUAUGGGAAUAAAAUGUUCCACGUGUGGGAUUUUGUAUGUACCAUAUGAAUAAGGAUCGGCUAACUCCGUGCCAGCAGCCGCGGUAAUACGGAGGAUCCGCGCGUUAUCCGGAUUUAUUGGGUUUAAAGGGAGCGUAGGUGGAUUGUUAAGUCAGUUGUGAAAGUUUGCGGCUCAACCGUAAAAUUGCAGUUGAAACUGGCAGUCUUGAGUACAGUAGAGGUGGGCGGAAUUCGUGGUGUAGCGGUGAAAUGCUUAGAUAUCACGAAGAACUCCGAUUGCGAAGGCAGUUCACUGGACUGCAACUGACACUGAGGCUCGAAAGUGUGGGUAUCAAACAGGAUUAGAUACCCUUGUAGUC
rnacentral:rRNA from 1 species